GUCCCAGUGGCAGCUGACUCAGAUCCCUGGGUGCCUGUGCGGAGGGAACAACGGACGGGGCCUGGCACUGAGUCUUCCUGGUUUCCCAAGGACUGGGGGGCGACAGGCUCUCCCUGGAAUGUGAGCUCCAUGAAAGCAGCAGUCUUUGAUUUGUUCCCUGCCGUGUCUCCAGUGCCUGGAACAGUGCUUCGUACUAAAUAAAUACUUAUUAAAUGAA